rnacentral:tRNA from 1 species
CGGGGUGUGGCGCAGUCCGGUUAGCGUACACGUCUGGGGGGCGUGAGGUCGCAGGUUCAAAUCCUGUCACCCCGACAA